UACGUAGGGUGCGAGCGUUAAUCGGAAUUACUGGCGUAAAGCGUGCGCAGGCGGUGAUGUAAGACAGAUGUGAAAUCCCCGGGCUCAACCUGGGACCUGCAUUUGUGACUGCAUCGCUAGAGUACGGCAGAGGGGGAUGGAAUUCCGCGUGUAGCAGUGAAAUGCGUAGAGAUGCGGAGGAACACCGAUGGCGAAGGCAGCCCCCUGGGCUAGCACUGACGCUCAGGCACGAAAGCGUGGGGAGCAAACAGG
rnacentral:rRNA from 1 species